AUACAUGCAAGUCGAGCGAACUGAUUAGAAGCUUGCUUCUAUGACGUUAGCGGCGGACGGGUGAGUAACACGUGGGCAACCUGCCUGUAAGACUGGGAUAACUUCGGGAAACCGAAGCUAAUACCGGAUAGGAUCUUCUCCUUCAUGGGAGAUGAUUGAAAGAUGGUUUCGGCUAUCACUUACAGAUGGGCCCGCGGUGCAUUAGCUAGUUGGUGAGGUAACGGCUCACCAAGGCAACGAUGCAUAGCCGACCUGAGAGGGUGAUCGGCCACACUGGGACUGAGACACGGCCCAGACUCCUACGGGAGGCAGCAGUAGGGAAUCUUCCGCAAUGGACGAAAGUCUGACGGAGCAACGCCGCGUGAGUGAUGAAGGCUUUCGGGUCGUAAAACUCUGUUGUUAGGGAAGAACAAGUACGAGAGUAACUGCUCGUACCUUGACGGUACCUAACCAGAAAGCCACGGCUAACUACGUGCCAGCAGCCGCGGUAAUACGUAGGUGGCAAGCGUUAUCCGGAAUUAUUGGGCGUAAAGCGCGCGCAGGCGGUUUCUUAAGUCUGAUGUGAAAGCCCACGGCUCAACCGUGGAGGGUCAUUGGAAACUGGGGAACUUGAGUGCAGAAGAGAAAAGCGGAAUUCCACGUGUAGCGGUGAAAUGCGUAGAGAUGUGGAGGAACACCAGUGGCGAAGGCGGCUUUUUGGUCUGUAACUGACGCUGAGGCGCGAAAGCGUGGCCCCC
rnacentral:rRNA from 2 species